rnacentral:tRNA from 1 species
GUCAGGAUGGCCGAGUGGUCUAAGGCGCCAGACUCAAGUUCUGGUCUCUGUAUGGAGGCGUGGGUUCAAAUCCCACUCCUGACA